UCCUCCUCAUAGCUGUCCACGACGUGGUGAUACACGUUUGGGAUGUGAUAUAAAGUGCCAGAUUUCUUUGUUCCAUGUGGGACAUAAACUGCGAAGAGAACUUUUGGCCUUGUUUUUCAAAGUUUUUCUUGAAGCCAUCUAUUGAUGCGACUGGAUUUACCACCUAAACUAGAAUCAUAUCAAAAACUUCCUAAGGGAAUGGGUUCUAGGCUUCUAGCUUAAAAGCUGAAGCAAUUGGACUGGUUGAUUAGAAUCUGGUGUCUAAUUUGAACUUUAGCCUUUCCACCAUGGUAGGAAAUGUGCACUUUCUGAUUGACC
rnacentral:lncRNA from 1 species